rnacentral:rRNA from 1 species
AUUCCCCAGUAACGGCGAGUGAAGAGGGAAGAGCUCACAGUUUGAACCUGUUUGACCUAGUCAAACCGGAUUGUAAACUGUAAAGACAUUGUCCAGGCAAGCCGGGUAAAUAAGUCCUUUGGAAUAAGGCAUCAUGGAGGGUGAAAAUCCCGUUUUUGGCCUGAGCAUUUGCCUUUUGUGACAAGUCUUUCAAGAGUCAGGUUGUUUGGGAAUGCAGCCUAAAUUGGGUGGUAAAUCCCAUCUAAAGCUAAAUAUUGGCGAGAGACCGAUAGCGAACAAGUACCGUGAGGGAAAGAUGAAAAGCACUUUGAAAAGAGAGUUAAAAAGUAUGUGAAAUUGCUGAAAGGGAAGCGUUUGGGAUCAGAACGGCUGUACCAGUCAUCAGUCUCGGUUUCGACUGGGAUGCACUGUCUGGGACAUUUGCCAGCCAACAACAGUUGGUCUGGGUGGAGAAAACUGUGGGGAAGGUAGCCCCUUCGGGGUGAUUAUAGACCUGCGGAAAAUACACUCGGAUCGACUGAGGAGCGCAGUGGAUGCCUUUAGGCAAGAUCUUUCAAAGGGCAUAGCCUCUAUUUGACUGCAUCUUUAUCCACUUGGGUUGUUGGCCUAAUGGUUUCAAACGACCCGUCUUGAAACACGGACCAAGGAGUCCACCACAGAUGCGAGUAUUUGGGUGGCAAACCCAUAUGCGCAAUGAAAGUGAGACAUGAAAAGCUGUGAAAUCUCUCUUUUGUUGGGGGGGGGAUAGCAACAGCGUCCGGUACGGAGGUUUUAUACUGAAGUAACUGAGACAAAGCAUCUGUGAUGGGACCCGAAAGAUGGUGAACUAUGCUUGGAUAGAGCGAAGCCAGAGGAUACUUCUGGUGGGAAGCUCGAAGCGGUUCUGACGUGCAAAUCGAUCGUCUGAUCUGAGCAUAGGGGCGAAAGAACUAGUCGUAGCAUCUAGUAGCUAGCUACUGCCGAGU